rnacentral:misc_RNA from 1 species
GAUGAAGAACGCAGCGAAAUGCGAUAAGUAAUGUGAAUUGCAGAAUUCAGUGAAUCAUCGAGUCUUUGAACGCACAUUGCGCCCCCUGGUAUUCCGGGGGGCAUGCCUGUUCGAGCGUCAUUACAACCCUCAAGCUCUGCUUGGUAUUGGGCCCCGCCAGUUCUGGCGGGCCCUAAAGUCAGUGGCGGUGCCUUCCGGCUCCGAGCGUAGUAAUUCUUCUCGCUCUGGAGACCCGGUUGUGUGCUUGCCAACAACCCCCAAUUUUUUAAGGUUGACCUCGGAUCAGGUAGGGAUACCCGCUGAACUUAAGCAUAUCAAUAAGCGGAGGA